AAACCAUAUAUCGGGCAUUUUCUAAUUAGCUCCUUGAAUCGCUCCCAUGCUUCAUAUAAUGUUUCAUCCUCAAAUUGCCAAAAGGACGUAAUAUCAUUCUUCGGUUU
rfam:Gossypium raimondii Chr04_contig_392, whole genome shotgun sequence.